rnacentral:rRNA from 1 species
AUGCCUACAAGCCUAGUUGGUGUAUUUAAAUUCUUCAAAUAUAUUAGGUGUGGUGGCGUUACCACCGGCUGUCCACUUGGGCAAAACCCUACCAGAGGCCAGAGGCUGUUGGACGCUGCUGCACAGCUCAUCCACCUCCUCGCAUCCGUCCAAGUCAACAUCUAUGUAGCGGACGUCUUGGAUCACGCUUGCAGCAUCAGGUAUUCCCUGCUUGCCGUUUCGUGUCUUUCCCGUGUGUUUCUUGGACUGAACUGUGCGUUCUUCAAAGUCAUUGCCGUUACCAGACGUGUGAAUGGCGGGGAAGCCCCUUCGCUUCUUCACGGCCUCAUUUUGCUCGUUACUGCCGCCGCUGCUGCUGCUUCUCUUGCUUCCGUUUGGAAAUUGGUUGAGAAACUCCUCUAUGGUUGCAAGUACACGAUCCCCGUACUUGUUGAGCUUCACCCUGAAAGUAUGUAA